UACGGGAGGCAGCAGUGGGGAAUAUUGCACAAUGGGCGAAAGCCUGAUGCAGCUAUGCCGCGUGUAUGAAGAAGGCCUUAGGGUUGUAAAGUACUUUCAUCGGGGAGGAAAAACAAAACUAAUAAUUUUAUUUCUUGACGUUACCCGAAAAAGAAGCACCGGCUAACUCCGUGCCAGCAGCCGCGGUAAUACGGAGGGUGCUAGCGUUAAUCAGAAUUACUGGGCGUAAAGAGCACGUAGGUGGUUUUUUUAAGUCAGAUGUGAAAUCCCUGGGCUUAACCUGGAACUGCAUUUUGAAACUGAAAUACUAGAGUAUCGUAGAGGGAGGUAGAAUUCUAGGUGUAGCGGUGAAAUGCGUAGAUAUCUGGAGGAAUACCUGUGGCGAAAGCGGCCUCCUAAACGAAUACUGACACUGAGGUGCGAAAGCGUGGGGAGCAAA
rnacentral:rRNA from 1 species